rnacentral:rRNA from 1 species
CCUACGGGGGGCUGCAGUGGGGAAUUUUGGACAAUGGGCGAAAGCCUGAUCCAGCAAUGCCGCGUGUGUGAAGAAGGCCUUCGGGUUGUAAAGCACUUUUGUCAGGAAAGAAAUCCCAAGGGCUAAUAUCCCAGGGGGAUGACGGUACCUGAAGAAUAAGCACCGGCUAACUACGUGCCAGCAGCCGCGGUAAUACGUAGGGUGCAAGCGUUAAUCGGAAUUACUGGGCGUAAAGCGUGCGCAGGCGGUUUCGUAAGACAGAUGUGAAAUCCCCG